rnacentral:rRNA from 1 species
GACGAACGCUGGCGGCGUGCCUAAUACAUGCAAGUCGAGCGGACUGAUUAAGAGCUUGCUCUUAUGACGUUAGCGGCGGACGGGUGAGUAACACGUGGGCAACCUGCCCUGUAGAUCGGGAUAACACCGAGAAAUCGGUGCUAAUACCGGGUAAUAUCUGAGAUCACAUGAUCUUAGGUUAAAAGAUGGCUCCGGCUAUCACUACAGGAUGGGCCCGCGGCGCAUUAGCUAGUUGGUAAGGUAAUGGCUUACCAAGGCGACGAUGCGUAGCCGACCUGGGAGGGUGAUCGGCCACACUGGGACGGAGACACGGCCCAGACUCCUACGGGAGGCAGCAGUAGGGAAUCUUCCGCAAUGGACGAAAGUCUGACGGAGCAACGCCGCGUGAGUGAUGAAGGGUUUCGGCUCGUAAAGCUCUGUUGUUAGGGAAGAAACAGUACCGAACGAACUAGGUCGGUACCUUGACGGUACCUAACCAGAAAGCCACGGCUAACUACGUG